rnacentral:misc_RNA from 1 species
GAUGAAGAACGUAGCGAAUUGCGAUAUGUAAUGUGAAUUGCAGAAUUCAGUGAAUCAUCGAAUCUUUGAACGCAUAUUGCACCCUCUGGUAUUCUGGAGGGUAUGCCUGUUUGAGUGUCAUUAAAAUUCUCAAGUAUUGAUAUCUUGGUGUUGUACCAUUGAUAAUUCUACUUGGAUUGUGAAGGUUGCUGGUCCUUUGACUUGGCUCCUUUUAAAUGUAUUAGCAGACCUAACUUCCACAGUUUGGCCUCGGUGUGAUAAUCUAUUAUCUGCGCUGUUGUCAAUGGAGAAAUUGUUGGUCAGCUUGCAAAUUGUCCUCUGGACUUGUCUUGUAAGACAAAUCACUUUGAUUUGACCUCAAAUCAGGUAGGACUACCCGCUGAACUUAAGCAUAUCAAUAAGCGGAGGA